rnacentral:rRNA from 1 species
CCGUUGUACACACCGCCCGUCACACCAUGGGAGUGGGUUGUACCAGAAGCAGGUAGUUUAACCGCAAGGGGACGCCUGCCACGGUAUGGUUCAUGACUGGGGUG